AUGUCCACUAGGACCCCAAACUCUACUUUCCGCUCACUGCCACAGGACCAUGUGUUUCUGGUAUCGAAAAGGGCGUGCCGACUGCCAGCCCGAGCGUGGCGUCCCCUGCCUCCGCCUGCUUUCUUCAGCCUUGGUGUUUUGGCUCUCAACGGACAUCUCUACGACAGACACUUGCUUCUCCCCUUGGGACUGCGUAACAGUAUCCAGCAGGUGGACUUACAUAAAAUAAUUGCAGUAUUGAAUCAGUACCCUGAUAAACAAAUCAACAAGCCUUAAACGGAGAGCAAAUGCUCUUUGCCAGCUCUGAGAAACUUAUGGUAAUAAGGAGGAGCCCUUAAGAGAUUAAGGAGGCUCAGGACACGCAGAGGUGGAGGAGAGAGUAAUAUAGAAGAGAUAUGGUGAGAUAUAGAUAUAUAUAUAUAUAUAUAUAUAUAUAUAUAUAUAUAUAUAUGUAUAUAUAUAUAUACAUAAAUAUAUCAUAUAUAUAUAUAUAUAUAUAUAUUAUAUAUAUAUAUAUAUAUUA
rnacentral:lncRNA from 1 species